GUGAACCAUGCUGAUAAAAGAAGAAUUGACCCAAACUACUCAACCUCAGUCUAAUGAGAUCAAAAGACAUCAGCAGCUAGAGCUGGUAGCUACUUCUCAUAGACGGGAUUCUUUUCUCCUUUACAUCCUCUUUCAAGGUG
rnacentral:lncRNA from 1 species